GUUGGGCUUUAUUAAUAUUUUCCUCACUAUUGCACACAAUGUGGAUUCAAAGAAGGAAUUGAAAAAAGGAUAGCCUCAGCCAAUAGGAAACGAAGAUUAACCAUAAAGGAUUCAAAGUAGAAGCAGGAGGUGACCUAGCCACACGGCAGCCCAUCCACAUGUUGAGUAAUGAGCCAGCUGAAAAGAGCAGCACUCAGUCCUCACCGUCUUGGUCCAGUCUUCUCCAUGUGAAGAGCUGUCUGGAUGUGAACACAUUCACGAGAUCAUCUUAGGGAACUCAAACCCAUCUUACAAUAUGAUCAUUCUUCAAUCAGCAAUGAUCUUUGUUACACAAAAAUAUAUCAAAUGUUAGUUUUAUUUCUGUUAAAACUCAUUAAUAUAAAGUAAAAUUUCAGAGUGCUUUUGUGAAACUGGGAAUCAGAAUGAGCCUUUCCUAAUAAGCUGGUCCUGGAACUCUGAAGUCAGAUAUUUGUGGUCAUAGCCUCUAUUGUUAUCUUGAAUUUUUGUUGUUGUUGUUGUAAACCUCUCAACUCUUCAAAGGACCUCUUUGUUAACAUUCCCAUUAUUCAGAAUUAGUUCCAUGCCUGAACUCCUGCUCCCUAGACGGCAAACACAACUCCAUGGUCAAUCCAUAGCUUCACUAAUGGCAACUCCAGUCACAUAACAG
rnacentral:lncRNA from 1 species